CUCAUCUCAAAGCUUAAGUAAGCUCUGACUAGUGGCAUCAGUCUUGAUCUCAUUUAAGAGCCAAAGCUUGUGAGAACAGUUUCUUAAAGCUUUAAUAGAUGUUUCCAGGCUGGGGUCGAGGAGAAUUCCUGAUCUUAGCUUUUUGAUCCUAGUGGCGAAAGUCCUGAUCAGACGAGGAGAUCGUCAUAGCAUUUCAAUGGAUAGUCGAUCCUUUAGUUUGGUAGCUGCUGGUUCCUUGUUCCCCUUCUCAUUUUAGGCUUGGCUCUCGGUAUCCGUUCUUUACACUGAGACUCCUUCUUGAGGAGAGUGUUUGGCUCUCUCUCUACUAUCUGGUUACACUCUUUGCCUUUAUGUCUACCCGUCUUGUAUGCAAUUAAGUGGAUCUUUUGAUGUGAUCUUUGAUUUCAAACUAUUCUCAAGCCUUGUCUCAGCACUCACUUAAAAACGAAGCAAAACAUGAAAGACAAAGAGCUAGCUAUAAUCCAAUGCUUGCACAAGUUUCUCUCCAUCACCUUUGAAUCCGUUCUGAAAGACUGCUUUGACCCUCUUGAUGAACUAUGAUCCCCAAAGAGGCUAAGUUUGUUAUUAUUGUUGUUUGGUCUCCUCUCCUAUAUUUCGUGGGGGUAACCUAGUCUUAGUGUAUAAUAAGUUUAUAACAUUACAAACAAGCAUCCUGUGCAACCACACUUUUUUUUUUGAAAAAAUAUCUGUUGAAUUAUCAUUUAUCAUU